CCUACGGGAGGCUGCAGUGGGGAAUAUUGGACAAUGGGGGGAACCCUGAUCCAGCGACGCCGCGUGAGUGAAGAAGUAUCUCGGUAUGUAAAGCUCUAUCAGCAGGGAAGAAAGAAAUGAAGGUACCUGACUAAGAAGCCCCGGCUACCUACGUGCCAGCAGCCGCGGUAAUACGUAGGGGGCAAGCGUUAUCCGGAUUUACUGGGUGUAAAGGGAGCGUAGACGGCAGCACAAGUCUGGAGUGAAAUCCCGGGGCUUAACCCCGGAACUGCAUUGGAAACUGUGCGGCUGGAGUGCAGGAGGGGUAAGCGGAAUUCGUGGUGUAGCGGUGAAAUGCGUAGAUAUUAGGAGGAACACCGGUGGCGAAGGCGGCUUACUGGACUGUAACUGACGUUGAGGCUCGAAAGCGUGGGGAGCAAACAGGAUUAGAUACCCGAGUAGUC
rnacentral:rRNA from 1 species